rnacentral:rRNA from 1 species
AGUGAACGCUGGCGGUAGGCCUAACACAUGCAAGUCGAACGGCAGCACAGUAAGAGCUUGCUCUUACGGGUGGCGAGUGGCGGACGGGUGAGGAAUACAUCGGAAUCUACUUUUUCGUGGGGGAUAACGUAGGGAAACUUACGCUAAUACCGCAUACGACCUACGGGUGAAAGCAGGGGAUCUUCGGACCUUGCGCGAUUGAAUGAGCCGAGGUCGGAUUAGCUAGUUGGCGGGGUAAAGGCCCACCAAGGCGACGAUCCGUAGCUGGUCUGAGAGGAUGAUCAGCCACACUGGAACUGAGACACGGUCCAGACUCCUACGGGAGGCAGCAGUGGGGAAUAUUGGACAAUGGGCGCAAGCCUGAUCCAGCCAUACCGCGUGGGUGAAGAAGGCCUUCGGGUGGUAAAGCCCUUUUGUUGGGAAAGAAAAGCAGCAGGUUAAUACCCCGCUGUUCUGACGGUACCCAAAGAAUAAGCACCGGCUAACUUCGUG